rnacentral:rRNA from 1 species
AUUGAACGCUGGCGGCAGGCCUAACACAUGCAAGUCGAGCGGUAGAGAGAAGCUUGCUUCUCUUGAGAGCGGCGGACGGGUGAGUAAUGCCUAGGAAUCUGCCUGGUAGUGGGGGAUAACGUUCGGAAACGGACGCUAAUACCGCAUACGUCCUACGGGAGAAAGCAGGGGACCUUCGGGCCUUGCGCUAUCAGAUGAGCCUAGGUCGGAUUAGCUAGUUGGUGGGGUAAUGGCUCACCAAGGCGACGAUCCGUAACUGGUCUGAGAGGAUGAUCAGUCACACUGGAACUGAGACACGGUCCAGACUCCUACGGGAGGCAGCAGUGGGGAAUAUUGGACAAUGGGCGAAAGCCUGAUCCAGCCAUGCCGCGUGUGUGAAGAAGGUCUUCGGAUUGUAAAGCACUUUAAGUUGGGAUGAAGGGCAGUAAAUUAAUACUUUGCUGUUUUGACGUUACCGACAGAAUAAGCACCGGCUAACUCUGUG